rnacentral:rRNA from 1 species
UUGACUGAGCGGCGGACGGGUGAGUAACGCGUGGGUAACCUGCCUCAUACAGGGGGAUAACAGUUGGAAACGGCUGCUAAUACCGCAUAAGCGCACAGUACCGCAUGGUACCGUGUGAAAAACUCCGGUGGUAUGAGAUGGACCCGCGUCUGAUUAGGUAGUUGGUGGGGUAACGGCCUACCAAGCCGACGAUCAGUAGCCGACCUGAGAGGGUGACCGGCCACAUUGGGACUGAGACACGGCCCAAACUCCUACGGGAGGCAGCAUG